rnacentral:rRNA from 1 species
AACGCGAAGAACCUUACCCAGGCUUGACAUUCAGAGGAAGUGUGCAGAAACGUACACGCCGGGGCAACUCGGCCUUUGGACAGGUGCUGCAUGGCUGUCGUCAGCUCGUGCCGUGAGGUGUUAGGUUAAGUCCUGCAACGAGCGCAACCCUCAUCUUUAGUUGCCAGCGGGUUAAGCCGGGCUCUCUAAAGAAACUGCCGCUGAUAAGGCGGAGGAAGGUGGGGAUGACGUCAAGUCAGCAUGGCCCUUACGUCUGGGGCUACACACGUGCUACAAUGGGGGGUACAACGGGAAGCCAAGGAGCGAUCUGGAGCGAAUCCCACAAAACCCUCCUCAGUUCAGAUUGUAGGCUGCAACUCGCCUACAUGAAGGCGGAAUCGCUAGUAACCGCAGAUCAGCACUGCUGCGGUGAAUACGUUCCCGGGCCUUGUACACACCGGAGUGC